rnacentral:rRNA from 1 species
UACGUAGGGGGCAAGCGUUGUCCGGAUUUAUUGGGCGUAAAGGGCGCGUAGGCGGCAUGGCAAGUCAGGGGUGAAAGGCCUGGGCUCAACCGAGGAACUGCUUUUGAUACUGCCAAGCUAGAGUGCGGAAGGGGCAACUGGAAUUCCCAGUGUAGCGGUGAAAUGCGUAGAUAUUGGGAAGAACACCUGAGGCGAAGGCGGGUUGCUGGGCCGACACUGACGCUGAGGCGCGAAAGCCAGGGGAGCAAACGGG